GGGUUGUGAGGUUAAGCGACUAAGCGUACACGGUGGAUGCCCUGGCAGUCAGAGGCGAUGAAGGACGUGCUAAUCUGCGAUAAGCGUCGGUAAGGUGAUAUGAACCGUUAUAACCGGCGAUUUCCGAAUGGGGAAACCCAGUGUGUUUCGACACACUAUCAUUAACUGAAUCCAUAGGUUAAUGAGGCGAACCGGGGGAACUGAAACAUCUAAGUACCCCGAGGAAAAGAAAUCAACCGAGAUUCCCCCAGUAGCGGCGAGCGAACGGGGAGGAGCCCAGAGCCUGAAUCAGUGUGUGUGUUAGUGGAAGCGUCUGGAAAGGCGCGCGAUACAGGGUGACAGCCCCGUACACAAAAAUGCACAUGCUGUGAGCUCGAUGAGUAGGGCGGGACACGUGGUAUCCUGUCUGAAUAUGGGGGGACCAUCCUCCAAGGCUAAAUACUCCUGACUGACCGAUAGUGAACCAGUACCGUGAGGGAAAGGCGAAAAGAACCCCGGCGAGGGGAGUGAAAAAGAACCUGAAACCGUGUACGUACAAGCAGUGGGAGCACGCUUCGGCGUGUGACUGCGUACCUUUUGUAUAAUGGGUCAGCGACUUAUAUUCUGUAGCAAGGUUAACCGAAUAGGGGAGCCGAAGGGAAACCGAGUCUUAACUGGGCGUUAAGUUGCAGGGUAUAGACCCGAAACCCGGUGAUCUAGCCAUGGGCAGGUUGAAGGUUGGGUAACACUAACUGGAGGACCGAACCGACUAAUGUUGAAAAAUUAGCGGAUGACUUGUGGCUGGGGGUGAAAGGCCAAUCAAACCGGGAGAUAGCUGGUUCUCCCCGAAAGCUAUUUAGGUAGCGCCUCGUGAAUUCAUCUCCGGGGGUAGAGCACUGUUUCGGCAAGGGGGUCAUCCCGACUUACCAACCCGAUGCAAACUGCGAAUACCGGAGAAUGUUAUCACGGGAGACACACGGCGGGUGCUAACGUCCGUCGUGAAGAGGGAAACAACCCAGACCGCCAGCUAAGGUCCCAAAGUCAUGGUUAAGUGGGAAACGAUGUGGGAAGGCCCAGACAGCCAGGAUGUUGGCUUAGAAGCAGCCAUCAUUUAAAGAAAGCGUAAUAGCUCACUGGUCGAGUCGGCCUGCGCGGAAGAUGUAACGGGGCUAAACCAUGCACCGAAGCUGCGGCAGCGACGCUGAUGCGUUGUUGGGUAGGGGAGCGUUCUGUAAGCCUGCGAAGGUGUGCUGUGAGGCAUGCUGGAGGUAUCAGAAGUGCGAAUGCUGACAUAAGUAACGAUAAAGCGGGUGAAAAGCCCGCUCGCCGGAAGACCAAGGGUUCCUGUCCAACGUUAAUCGGGGCAGGGUGAGUCGACCCCUAAGGCGAGGCCGAAAGGCGUAGUCGAUGGGAAACAGGUUAAUAUUCCUGUACUUGGUGUUACUGCGAAGGGGGGACGGAGAAGGCUAUGUUGGCCGGGCGACGGUUGUCCCGGUUUAAGCGUGUAGGCUGGUUUUCCAGGCAAAUCCGGAAAAUCAAGGCUGAGGCGUGAUGACGAGGCACUACGGUGCUGAAGCAACAAAUGCCCUGCUUCCAGGAAAAGCCUCUAAGCAUCAGGUAACAUCAAAUCGUACCCCAAACCGACACAGGUGGUCAGGUAGAGAAUACCAAGGCGCUUGAGAGAACUCGGGUGAAGGAACUAGGCAAAAUGGUGCCGUAACUUCGGGAGAAGGCACGCUGAUAUGUAGGUGAAGUCCCUUGCGGAUGGAGCUGAAAUCAGUCGAAGAUACCAGCUGGCUGCAACUGUUUAUUAAAAACACAGCACUGUGCAAACACGAAAGUGGACGUAUACGGUGUGACGCCUGCCCGGUGCCGGAAGGUUAAUUGAUGGGGUCAGCGCAAGCGAAGCUCUUGAUCGAAGCCCCGGUAAACGGCGGCCGUAACUAUAACGGUCCUAAGGUAGCGAAAUUCCUUGUCGGGUAAGUUCCGACCUGCACGAAUGGCGUAAUGAUGGCCAGGCUGUCUCCACCCGAGACUCAGUGAAAUUGAACUCGCUGUGAAGAUGCAGUGUACCCGCGGCAAGACGGAAAGACCCCGUGAACCUUUACUAUAGCUUGACACUGAACAUUGAGCCUUGAUGUGUAGGAUAGGUGGGAGGCUUUGAAGUGUGGACGCCAGUCUGCAUGGAGCCGACCUUGAAAUACCACCCUUUAAUGUUUGAUGUUCUAACGUUGACCCCUAAUCGGGGUUGCGGACAGUGUCUGGUGGGUAGUUUGACUGGGGCGGUCUCCUCCUAAAGAGUAACGGAGGAGCACGAAGGUUGGCUAAUCCUGGUCGGACAUCAGGAGGUUAGUGCAAUGGCAUAAGCCAGCUUGACUGCGAGCGUGACGGCGCGAGCAGGUGCGAAAGCAGGUCAUAGUGAUCCGGUGGUUCUGAAUGGAAGGGCCAUCGCUCAACGGAUAAAAGGUACUCCGGGGAUAACAGGCUGAUACCGCCCAAGAGUUCAUAUCGACGGCGGUGUUUGGCACCUCGAUGUCGGCUCAUCACAUCCUGGGGCUGAAGUAGGUCCCAAGGGUAUGGCUGUUCGCCAUUUAAAGUGGUACGCGAGCUGGGUUUAGAACGUCGUGAGACAGUUCGGUCCCUAUCUGCCGUGGGCGCUGGAGAACUGAGGGGGGCUGCUCCUAGUACGAGAGGACCGGAGUGGACGCAUCACUGGUGUUCGGGUUGUCAUGCCAAUGGCACUGCCCGGUAGCUAAAUGCGGAAGAGAUAAGUGCUGAAAGCAUCUAAGCACGAAACUUGCCCCGAGAUGAGUUCUCCCUGACCCUUUAAGGGUCCUGAAGGAACGUUGAAGACGACGACGUUGAUAGGCCGGGUGUGUAAGCGCAGCGAUGCGUUGAGCUAACCGGUACUAAUGAACCGUGAGGCUUAACCUUACAACGCCGAAGGUGUUU
rnacentral:rRNA from 1 species